AGAGUUUGAUCAUGGCUCAGAUUGAACGCUGGCGGUAGGCUUUACACAUGCAAGUCGAGCGGUAACAGAGAGUAGCUUGCUACUCUGCUGACGAGCGGCGGACGGGUGAGUAAUGCUUGGGAAUAUGCCUUAUGGUGGGGGACAACAGUUGGAAACNACUGCUAAUACCGCAUAACGUCUACGGACCAAAGGGGGGGAUCUUCGGACCUCUCGCCAUUUGAUUAGCCCAAGUGAGAUUANCUAGNUGGUGAGGUAAAGGCUCACCAAGGCGACGAUCUCUAGCUGGUUUGAGAGGAUGAUCAGCCACNCUGGGACUGANACACGGCCCAGACUCCUACGGGAGGCAGCAGUGGGGAAUAUUGCACAAUGGGCGAAAGCCUGAUGCANCCAUGCCGCGUGUGUGAAGAAGGNCUUCGGGUUGUAAAGCACUUUCAGUUGUGAGGAAAGGGGGUAGUUUAAUAUGCUAUCUCUGUGACGUUAACAACAGAAGAAGCACCGGCUAACUUCGUGCCAGCAGCCGCGGUAAUACGAGGGGUGCAAGCGUUAAUCGGAAUUACUGGGCGUAAAGCGUUCGUAGGCGGUCUAUUAAGCAAGAUGUGAAAGCCCAGGGCUCAACCUUGGAACUGCAUUUUGAACUGGUAGACUAGAGUACUGUAGAGGGUGGUGGAAUUUCCAGUGUAGCGGUGAAAUGCGUAGAGAUUGGAAGGAACAUCAGUGGCGAAGGCGGCCACCUGGACAGAUACUGACGCUGAGGAACGAAAGCGUGGGGAGCGAACAGGAUUANAUACCCUGGUAGUCCACGCCGUAAACNAUGUCAACUAGCCGUUUGUGGACUUGAUCCGUGAGUGGCGCAGCUAACGCACUAAGUUGACCGCCUGGGGAGUACGGCCGCAAGGUUAAAACUCAAAUGAAUUGACGGGGGCCCGCACAAGCGGUGGAGCAUGUGGUUUAAUUCGAUGCAACGCGAAGAACCUUACCAUCCCUUGACAUC
rnacentral:rRNA from 1 species